CUCUUUGUCUGGAGGUUACGUCCAUACAGAUGAUAACAAGUAAAAGGAAUGUUGGUAGUUAUAUGAUCAGCGAUUGAACACACUAUAUCACACCUAUUAGCCUCAAUAAUCCAAAUAUAUUUUUCCUUUCGAGAC
rnacentral:rRNA from 1 species